rnacentral:tRNA from 1 species
GCCCAGGUGGCGAAAUUGGUAGACGCAAGGGACUUAAAAUCCCUCGCUUGAAAGGGCGUGCCGGUUCGAUUCCGGCCCUGGGCACCA